rnacentral:rRNA from 1 species
UGGGGAAUCUUCCGCAAUGGACGAAAGUCUGACGGAGCAACGCCGCGUGAGUGAAGAAGGUUUUCGGAUUGUAAAACUCUGUUCUUGGGGACGAAUGGCGUAUGUGUAAAUAAUGCGUACGAGUGACGGUACCCAAGGAGAAAGCCACGGCUAACUACGUGCCAGCAGCCGCGGUAAUACGUAGGUGGCAAGCGUUGUCCGGAAUUAUUGGGCGUAAAGGGCGCGUAGGUGGUCAUUUAAGUCUGUCGUAAAAGACCGGGGCUCAACCCCGAUAUGCGGUGGAAACUGGGUGACGUGAGUGCAGGAGAGGAAAGUGGAAUUCCCAGUGUAGCGGUGAAAUGCGUAGAGAUUGGGAGGAACACCAGUGGCGAAGGCGACUUUCUGGACUGUAACUGACACUGAGGCGCGAAAGCCAGGGGAGCGAACG